CCUUCGAUAGCUCAGUUGGCAGAGCGGUGGUCUGUAGAAGUUGUGAUAGUUAUCCAUAGGUCGCUGGUUCGAAUCCGGCUCGAAGGA
rfam:Ciona savignyi cont_26750, whole genome shotgun sequence.